AAACAUCUUUACAUGAUAUGAAAUGAAAUACUCAUCAGCCGGCUGUUUUCACGCUUUGCACGUGACUGUUUUGACGCUUUGCACGUGACGUCACUCUCUUCGAAACUCGGCCCGCUCCGCCAUGACAGACGUCAAAGCAACCUAUGCGCUCCUGUAAAGCCUGUCGAAAAACGCACAUGUGGUGGCCCGGUAUCGCUUUUAUUAAGUUGAUUCGGCAGUAAAAAGUGGUCACAGGGUACUACGCGGUCGGCCGCACAAACAGGCAAGAAUACAAACCAAACUUGUCAUUUUAUUGUAUAACUUUUGAGGAGCGAUGGAAAGCAGCCGUCAACCAUAAUGACUGGCUACUCGGUGUAACCGCAGAUUUGCAGCGAACAUUUUUUACAAGGAACACCAGAUCUUGACUUCCUGGAAUCAUGAACGAAUGGCGUCACAUCUCCUGCAGUGAGGUGCAUCAGAAACAAAAACAAAAAAAACACUUGUCUGCUGAAGAGAAGAGCUGAUUAAACCAUGAGGAAACAAACUGGACGUCUCAGUGGCUGGAGUUUUUUCACAUGAUUCAUCUGAGAUUCCUGGGAGUCAUUUCUGUGGCGUUAUUAGACUGCUGAGCAGACAAAUCCUCCAAGAAAACCCAGUGGCCGAUUCUUCUCCUGUGUGAUCUUUCCUCAUGCAGGAUCAUCGUUCUUAGUGAAACGCAUGCAGAUCCUGAUUCCUCCUUCACUGUGUCUCAGUGUCGAGAUAAUGAGGCGGCAUUCUGGGCAGGAUUUCUUUUAAUCCCCAUGUGUGACAGCAUUUAUGACGCACAAGUGUCUGGAAAGUUUGGAGCUAUAGGAAACUGCAAAGAGAGAUGUGAAAAUACAGACUUCAGGUUCCUGAAUCUGAAUUUGUCAUAAAUACAGGUGGGAGCCACAUGCCCAGCCUCUGAAAAGCUUUGAGAAAUAUGUGUUGCCUCUUGUUACGUCACGUUAUCUGCACUAUGAUGCAGAAAAGGAUGACAACUGCAGGGGAAGUUCCUGGACUUUCUGGUCAUGAAGGAUACAUUUUCAAAGAAAAAUCGUCAGAACCAAACUUCCUGCUUUCGCUUUAAUUUUAUAGUAGAUAUGACCACAUUUAUCCAUUCAUUUAUACACUAAAAAAAACAAAAUCUGUAUUUAUUUGCAUAAUUUAAACCUGACUGAAUACAGAAAGUGUUUUCAAAUAAAGAAUGACCUAGAUUGUGUUUUUAUUGAUAAUAAUACACUCAGUCUUUUCUGCCUUUCUUCAACAGAGUUGCCCAAAAAUAUUAAAGUAGCUGAUAAAUAAUCUGUGUUGAUGGUUUUUUGCUGCUUUUUCUUUAGAUUUAUAGCUAAUACACAGGACCAAAGAGUCUCUGCAGAUUGUUGCUCAAAUAUAAGUCUAGUCUUACUUUUAAUUAAAAAAUCAUUUAUGAAACACUCAUGUCUAUGAUGGAAAUUACACAAAGAAAUUGGAUUUCUUGUCUCUUAAUACUCAAGUGUACUUCUGUUCCACUUUGCAAUAAAUUAACUAGACUUAUAAUUUGAUUUUAAAUAAGCUAAAAGUGAGUGUAAUCUAAGAAUCAAACAGAGAUUUAAUGAAGCACGUUGAGUUCUAGUAGUUUAUCCUCCACUAAAUGUUUUAACUAAAACAUAAAUAACAGAGUUGAACCAGAAAGAUAUGAGAAAACCUAACAUGUUUGGUACAUAGAUAUUAUUAACCUAGAAGGUUCAAGCGACAUAAUUUUACAAUUAAAACUGAAGAAAAUUAAUGGAGAGUGAACAGUUCCGAAUUAUGAAAGAAUUAUUUAAACGUGUCAUUAUUUUUUUUUUAAACUGGACAAAAAUGCAGAGAUAACUUAAAUAUAGAUUACAGAAUGAAUUUCUACCAGUAGAAAAAAAAUAAAGAAAUUUUUGAGUUUCAAAAGUUUCAACUUUUGAAACUCAGAAAGGUCCUUGAUUUUUCUUGAAAUUUUCUGAUAAUCUCAAAAUUUCAGAUUUUUUUCAAGCAAAUUGUUUUAAGAAACAUGCGUUUGAGAAAUAUGCGUUAUUUUAGCAUAUUUUCAAACUCAGAACUGUUUUGUUUUUUUGUA